rnacentral:misc_RNA from 1 species
UGUGGGGGCUGGCUUGCCUGCGAUAGCGGUGGAUCAGCUAAGGAUCAAUAAACUGACAGUCUGCUAUCGCAGGCAAGCCAGCUCCCACA